CAGAGGCUAUUCCUGGCUGUGUCCGUCUGAACUCCUGAUGGGGACUGAUCCAGGCAGUCACUGGGACUAUCUCCAUCCUCUCUGUCCCCUCUGGCACUUUAAGUCAACAGCCCUGAAGCCGUUCCCUAUAAAGACACACGGACCGAAUCCUUACAAGUACUUCCCCUCCCCCACCGUCUUGCUGCCUCUCCUAAUUCUCACCUAAAAUGAUAAACCCACAAAUCUGAGAACUGCCAA